ensembl:snoRNA Gm22541 predicted gene, 22541
AUUGAGGUCUUCCUCGGUAAGGCUUCUCCAGUAGCCACACAUUGGAGACACCUCACAUGUGUCUUGACCUGAUUUGCUUGACUCAGAACUGUUUAGUGACUCUGUCGGCAAGAACUGCAAGACAGCU